GACGCUGGCGGCGUGCCUAACACAUGCAAGUCGACUUGACUGAAGGAGCAAUCUGACAGUAGAGUGGCGCAAGGGUGCGUAACGCGUAAGUAACUUGCCCCAAGGUAAGGAAUAACGUCGAGAAAUCGGCGCUAAUACCUCAUAAUGCAGCGGAUCCGCAUGGAUAUGUUGUUAAAGGUUUACCGCCUUGGGAUAGGCUUGCGUCUGAUUAGCUAGUUGGUGUGGUAACGGCACACCAAGGCUACGAUCAGUAACUGGUCUGAGAGGAUGAUCAGUCACACUGGAACUGAGACACGGUCCAGACUCCUACGGGAGGCAGCAGUGAGGAAUAUUGGGCAAUGCUCGAAAGAGUGACCCAGCAACGCCGCGUGGAGGAUGAAGGUAUUCUAUAUCGUAAACUCCUGUGAGAGCAGACGAAAGACAGAUUAUUAAUCUGGAUGACUGUAUGCUCAGAGGAAGCCCCGGCUAACUACGUG
rnacentral:rRNA from 1 species